UUUUGGCGAUGAGCAUGUGUGGGUCGUGCGCGUCCUCUUGUAAAAUAGUUUAAUUUGUGCGAGCAUAGUGCAGUAAUUUUUAGUUUUUCUUGGCCUUUUUUGUGUCCGCGUGAAUUAUAGAGCAAAAGUAAAGCGUGUUACGUCUUUUUAUUUAAGAAAUCUGGGGAAUGAAAAGCGAUUUGAUUUGCAGAACGAGCUUUAAUUUCAAUAAGUGAAUUCAAAAGGAUGAGUUGCUGCUUUAACGGUUGUCCAAACACUAUCCAUCUUUGUAAAGGAACCAAAAUUAAAUUCUUUAAUUUUCCACAAUUGCCAUAUGUACGGAAAAAAUGGAUAGAGGCUUGUUGCAUAAACCAAAGGGACUUGCCGAACCGCCCUUUUGUGUGCUCACUGCACUUUGUGCAAAGCGAUUUAAUAUUCUGCAAUAAAAAAAUUAUACUUUCUAAAAGCGCUGUGCCAAUCGACAAGUUUGUGCAAGACCUUCAAGUGCAGCCGAAGAUGGAAUAUUCCUAAAUUAACUAGUUGGAGUCAUUACUGAAAUAAAAAUGCAGGGCGUAAAAUUAUCUUUUGACGUGGCAAGAUUAAAUUUUCAAGCGAAUUUCUAAACGGUUAAAAAGAAAGCAUUUGCAUAUUUUAUUCUUAAGCCCAAAAUGCAAUAACGCAGUGGCAGUGGCAGCGGCAGUUUUUGAAAUCAGCUGUUUUUUCGAAAGUGUGGUGUUCAAUGAAGCGUCUCACAAUACAGCAGUGGCAGCUAGCAGUACUGCUCAGUUUAGCCCAAAUUCUAUGUAAAUUCACUGCCACUGCCGCAAACAUCACAAAAACUUGGCAUAUUGAAUUUGACUGAAGCCGUAAAGGCAACAACUAAAAUAUAAACAGACAAAAGGAAAUGUCAAAAAAGCAGUCGCUGAAAAGCCGUAUUGGCUGCAUUUCUUUAUUCAUUCCGAACGUUUGGAAUAAACUUUUUUGUUUA